rnacentral:sRNA from 1 species
GCGGCGGCCGUUGCGAUUGAUUGCGCUGGUUACCUGCGGAGUCCACUUCCUUGGCCGCCCUUGCUACACUGGCUGAUUGUUGUGCAGCCGGCGCCAUGUCUGUGAGCGAGAUCUUCGUGGAGCUGCAGGGCUUUUUGGCUGCCGAGCAGGACAUCCGAGAGUUCCAAAGAGGUGUUUGAAAGCUCGAGAACAUUUUGGUACAGUAAAAACACAUCUAACAUCUUUGAAGACCAAAUUUCCUGCUGAACAGUAUUACAGAUUUCAUGAGCACUGGAGGUUUGUGUUGCAGCGCUUGGUCUUCUUGGCAGCAUUUGUUGUGUAUUUGGAAACAGAAACACUAGUGACUCGAGAAGCAGUUACAGAAAUUCUUGGCAUUGAGCCAGAUCGGGAGAAAGGAUUUCAUCUGGAUGUAGAAGAUUAUCUCUCAGGAGUUCUAAUUCUUGCCAGUGAACUGUCGAGGCUGUCUGUCAACAGCGUGACUGCUGGAGACUACUCCCGACCCCUCCACAUCUCCACCUUCAUCAAUGAGCUGGAUUCUGGUUUUCGCCUUCUCAACCUGAAAAAUGACUCCCUGAGGAAGCGCUACGACGGAUUGAAAUAUGACG